CAUAGAUAUGUUAUUGUUGGAAGUAUUGCCACUGUGUUAGUAUUAUAACAAAGAAACGACUGUAGAUCCCAUUUCUCAUUUUGAAAAAUGGUUAUGUUAAUUGAAGACGGCUUGGAAUAUAAAUUGUGUUGCCUGUGUUUAUCAAUAUUAAAUAAUUACGUCUAAAGACUAUCUUAAGAUGUGUCGUGAUCGAUUCGUUGGUUCCUUACGGGCGCGAGUUACACGAUUCAUAAUUAAUACGUUUGAAACAUAACAAUUUGAUUCCUUCUAUUGCUUUGAAAAGCAAAGAUAAAUGAUAUAAAUGAAAUACAAUGUAAACGAUUUCAUGAGGUCGGAAUUAAUCUCGUUCGUACACCUUACAAAACACCACACAAACGCCCAUUUAUGAGCUAUAUUAUCAAGAUGCCUGUACCACGUGACUUUUUCGUAUUUGUGUGGGACAAUCGGAUGUCAACAAAACAUCGCUUUAGAAUUCCAUGUGUUUUCGAACAGUGUGGUAGAGAGAUCAAAACACAGUCGGGGAUCUCCAAACACAAAGCCACCCACGCACGGACAGAAAAAUAUUUCUGUUGCGGCAAACCUUUUCUUGGAGAUUAAAGUAUUUUUUGGAAGCACCUUCAAGAGACGUACUGAUAUCUUGAUCAAUGAAAAGUUGUCAUAUAUUGUAAAUGAUCAUAAGUUUAAAAGACUAUUUGUUUUAUUACCAGAUGGUGCAAGUAUUGCAGUGAAAGAAAACAAAGUAAAUAUAAAAUAAAAUUUUGACAAUUCAACAAAUUGAAAAAACAUUUAAUGUUUAUUACUUGUUGCAGUGGUAACAAGACCUUGCAGCCCCCUGUCAUAACCGGGGCGAAUGAGUAUUUUCAUUAAAUAUCUUAAACUAGUUUCAUUUAUUCAGAUUUCAUUUGAAAUUGAGUUCACGAACUAUUAAUACAAUUCAAUAUGUUUAUUGGUAUAAUGACCCUCCUAAGUCAAGACAUUUUGGCGAUGAUCAUUUGUUACGUGUUAAUUGAAGCAUUUAUAUGUUUGUUUAGCAUGAUUUGCAAAUUCAUACUUUGACUGAAUACAAUUACUUUGUGAAAACUGAUGGACUU